CUAGAACAUAGAUACAGAGACACUUGUUAUCAGGAAGGUGCUCUCUCAGAACAACGGAAAAUAUCUCAAUGACUUGACAUGUUCUGGUUGUGAAUUCAGGCUACAGGGGGUCAGUGCUCUAAAAUGAGUCUCUCUGUGGAGAGAGAGGAGGGGGGCCCUGCCUCUAAAAUUAGUCUCUCUGGGGAGAGAGAGGAGGGGGGCCCUGCCUCUAAAAUUAGUCUCUCUGGGGAGAGAGAGGAGGGGGGCCCUGCCUCUAAAAUUAGUCUCUCUGGGGAACAUGACAACAAAGCUAAGAGGAGAGAGACGUGACUAUUGUGGAUCCUCUGGGGAGCCUCAACAACCUCAUGAUGCUGACGAGGCAGAGAAGAGUCUCUCCAGAUCAGAACACCUCAAUAAACACCAGCAGAGACCC